rnacentral:lncRNA from 1 species
UUCUUCCUUUGUGCCCCAUGGUAGGUGGUGGCUUAUCUCCGCACCUUGGGUAUUUAAUCCUUGUAUCAACUCCUCCCACAUUUAAUCUGGGUUGGACUUGCUACUCGAAACCAAUUGAAUGCAGCAGAAGUGAAGUUGUGCCAGCUCUGGGACCAACCCUCAGGAAGGCUUGGCAGAGUCUCUUAUCAUAAUCCCUAGAGCCCUGAGCUGCUCAGUAAGAAGUCCAGUUACAGGGUUCGGAGACCCAUGUGCAGAGACCGCGAGGCUGCCUGCAGAUGGAGGGCUCUGCCUGCCCAGCAGCUGACCCCCAUCUCCUGCCACCAUCCUGCCCACUGGAACUUGCCAGAAGAGCAAGCACCCGGAUGCACCCAGGCCGUCAGGUGACAAUGCAAACGGUGCUGUUCCCUCAGACCAGCCCAGACCAGCCACUUUGCUCCCAAGCAGAGUCUGAGCCACAGGCCCCUGGGCUGCUGGGCCCCGAGCACUGAUUCCUCCCAACUCCAGCCAUCCUGAUAAGACAGUCAUUCUGGAAGCAGCUGAGGAAUUUCAUUUUGGAAAUUACUGGUAAGAUAUAUGCUUUUUACCUCCUUGCCUUUUUUUAAAAACAGGAAAUGGUAAUGAAAAUUUUAAGUUUUGUAAUUAGGUUUUUAAAAGGGAGGAUGUCUUACACUUUUAUUUAAAGGUGGAAAAUUGCUGGAUGGUGUGGAAACUAUGCCCAAGAUGGUACAGAAUGCAGGAAAGGCCUGAGCGAAACCAUUUUUAGUGUUGGUUGCUAUGGGAAAGGUGAGUGAACUUAUUUUCCCUGUGGGGCAUUUUUGCAGAUGUUUCUCAGCUAUUCUAGCUUUCAGAGCUGGUUUGGACAACUGCCCUCAAGUUCAAGAGCCUGUGGGCCAUGCACGGGACUUGGAAUGGAUCCUGAAGUCUCUCAGGUACCACUGGAGGGUGUUUGGCAAAGGAAUACUAUGGUAAGUCUUAGGUUUUAGAAAGGAUAACUGACAUUUUAACAUUUUUAAUUUUUUAUUUUAUUUUUCUUUUUACAGCCGCACCUGAGGCAUAUGGAAGUUCCCAGGCCAGGGGUUGAAUCUGAACAGUAGCUGCUGGUCUACCCCACAGCCACAGCAAUGCCAGAUCCGAGCUGAGUCUGCAGCCAAUACUACAACUCACAGCAACGCCAGAUCCUUAACCCACUGAACGAGAUGAGGGAUCGAACCUGUAUCCUCAUGAACAGUAUGCUGGGUUCUUACCCACUGAACCACAAUAGGAACUCCUGACAUUUUUUUAAACUCUGGAGGCAGAGAGGAGAGUAAGUCACAGUGGUCGAGGCCAGGUGAUGCCUGAAGACCAGUGAGGUGGCCAGAGGACCGUCUGAAGGGGGUGACCACCAGGGCUUAGAAGGGCCAGAUGGGAGAAUGUGAAAAGAACGUUCAGACCACGGUGUGGGGUGUGUGUAGGGACUUCCAGUGGGAAAAGGGGAGUUGAACGGCGCUC